GCAGCUUCUCGGCCUCCUGGUAGUGCGCCUCGAGCCACAUGGCCUGCAGCUUGCCGUGAGACUCCUUGGUGAACUUGUGGUUCUCAAGGAUGUGGUAGAGGUCGCGGAAGUUGCCCGUGUGGAAGGCGACCACGGCGCGCGCGCGCAGGAUCGACUCGUGUUUGUUGAUGGCCUCGCACGCCCCGGGGGCCACGGGCAGCGACCAGAGGAAGCGGCCCAGCCGCUCGAUGUCGCCCGUCUCCUCCAGCGUCUCACAGACGCUGGCCACCUGCUCCGGCGAGAAGUUGAGGGUGGGCAGCUGGAACAUGGACAACUCUUCCGGGGGGGCCCUGGAGCCGCCGCCGCCGCCGCCGCCUGCUCCGCCAGCACCGCCGCCUCCCGCACCGUUCCCGCCGCCGCUGCCGCCUCCCGCGCCGCCGCCGCCUCCCGCACCGUUCCCGCCGCCGCUACUCGCCAGAAGUAUGGAGCGGUGGUGAGAAUCGGCGAAGUUUGGCAACAAGAAGUGGGAGGAAUAGAGGUCUAGGGGGGAGCGGAAUACCAUGGACUGACCUGAGAGGAGAGGAGAAAAUUC
rnacentral:lncRNA from 1 species